UCCGGAAGUAGAGGCGGUGUGAGCCCCCCCUUUUGUUGCUAGGCGCGCGUUUCCGCUUCCGGUCCCCUUUGCGAUGGCGCCGCCGGGGGCCGCUCGGUCGCUGUAGCCGCCGCGCCUCUGCCGUCUCCCCUCGACCCUCCUAUGGCGGCCCCGCACGCCGACAAGCUGGAGGGGGGAGUCGGCCCCGCCCCGCCUGCCCCGGGUCCGCCGCCGCCGCCUCCCCUGCCGCCGGGCAGCCUCUCCGCUGGGCCAGGCCGCAAGCAGGGCAAGGCCGGCCUUCAAAUGAAGAGCCCUGAGAAGAAACGCCGCAAGUCCAACACCCAGGGCCCGGCCUAUUCCCACCUCUCGGAGUUUGCCCCGCCGCCGACCCCCAUGGUCGACCACCUGGUGGCCUCCAACCCCUUUGAGGAUGACUUUGGGGCACCCAAGGUGGGCUCCGCCUCUGCCCCUUUCCUCGGCAACCCCGGACCCUUUGGGAACUUCCGCAUGCAGGGGGCCAUGGGGCCCCAGGUCCCGCCCGGCUACGGUGGAGGGCCCCAGCCGAUGCGGAGGCAGCCGCCCCCCUUCGGACCCGGCCAGAUGGGCCCGGCCUUCAACAUGCCCGCCCAGAACCCUGGCUACGUGCAGCCCGGCGGCAUGGGCUUUGGGGGCCAGCCCUUCGGCCAGCCGCUGGGGCAGAACUUUAGCCCCCCCAGCGGGCAGCUCAUGCAGGGGCCCCUGGGCAGCUUCGGCCCCAUGAUCUCCCCUACCAUGGGGCAGCCCCCGCGCGGGGGGGACAUUGGCCCAGGGCCCGGCCUCAACCCCCCAGGGGGGCCUCCCAUGGGCCAGCGCUUCAGCCAGCCGGGCAACCUCUUCGGACAGUCGCCCAUGCAGCGCCCGAACCAGAACCUGCCCCCGAACCCCAGCCCCUUCCCCGGGCCCGACCCCGGCUUCCCGCCCGGCAGUGAAGACAGCGGUGGGAACAAGCCGCUCAACCCGCCCCCCAGCACCUUCCCCCAGGAGCAGCACGGCGGCUCGCCAGCGGCUGUGAAUGGCACACAGCCCGCCUUCGUGCCCAACAGCACUGGGCACAGCGGCACCGGCACCCCGGAGGCCAACAGCCUGCCCCCGUCCAGCAAGGCCGGCGGCGGCUCGGGGCACCAGCCGCCCCCCGGGCUGGUGUACCCCUGCGGGGCCUGCCACAGCGAGGUCCACGACGACCAGGACGCCAUCAUGUGCGAGGCCUCCUGCCAGAAGUGGUUCCACCGGGAGUGCACCGGCAUGACGGAGAACGCCUACGGGCUGCUGACCACCGAGGCCUCGGCCGUCUGGGCCUGCGACUUCUGCCUGAAGACCAAGGAGAUCCAGUCGGUCUAUGUCCGCGAGGGCAUCGGGCAGCUGGUGGCCGCCAACGACGGCUGAGCGGGCGGGAGGGAGCGGGAAGCCUCGGCCGCCCUCGCCCGGGACCCCCCCCGCCUUUCUGCCCCCAGGCUCACCUGCAGGCCACUGGCUUCUCAUGCGCCCCUGGGCUGAGCGGCUUGGGACGAGCGAAGAUGCAAUCCGGGGGAACCUUUUCGUUUUUGUUUUUAAAGUGUCGGUGACUUCCAGAAGUUGGGCCACGGCCGCCCUCCUGUUGGAUUCCCAGCCCCCUCACCUUGGCAUCCUGUUGGCUGUCGAGUGGCUGCCAUUUGGGGGAGCGGGGGGAGGCCCAGAGCGGUUGCCCCGUGCCCAUGGCCCCUGCAGAAGCACCGUCGCCGGUGUGUUCUUUCCGUGUGCUCCAGCUGGGGGUGUCGGUGGGACGAAGGCUCAUUGUGUGAGAUUUGGCGUGUUCCACAGCCCUGGAGGUGGCAAGUGGGUGAUGGUGCUGCAAGGCGUUUGGGGUCUUCUCCUCCCUCUAGUGUCCCACUCAUCCGGCUUGCAGCAGCCCGAUUUGCAGUGGUGUCUUGAAAACUUUGAAAAGACUGGGGGAGGGGGUCCCUUUGUUUAAAAAACAAAGCAGACCCCUACCGCAAUGUGUUUAGCAGUGUUGUCAGGGGCAUAGAAAUGCAAAUGUGCAAGCAUGUCCUCCAUGGAGAGAGUCAGGGGUGUCUUUAAAGAGCCCUGGGGUGGAGCCUGGGGCAAAUCGGCCAGGGCGGUGGGGGGGGCCCUUUCAAUAGCAGCAAGAAGAGUGGGGCCCUGCCCCAAGGACAGCCCUGGCAACCAUUGUGACCCUUUGCUCUGGGCAAAAGUAACUGCAUUCCCACCCCAGUGGUCUGAGGCUCGGGAUAAAGAGGGGGCGAGAAGACCGAGGCGGCGGUCUGAGCAGCAAUGCCAACACCUCUUCUCCAUCUCUGGGCGGUAGACAUUGCCAGAACUCACGAUGAAUGUUCGUCCCCAGAGAUGGCCACAGUUUUUCGGCCCAGCUCCUGGACUCAGUGGCCACAAACCAGUUUCCGAGAGCAGCCUCUGCUUCCGUGCCUGGGCCGCCACGGGUCUGGCGCUUCGGUUGGGAAAGGGAGCUGUGGUGGCGUUCACAGCCCGCCCGCCCUGUUCUCGUGGCCAGAAGCCGAGGCCCUCUCCUAGGACCAGCCUGGCACGCUCGCGGGCAGUUUCUUCCCCGUUUGGCAUGGAUGCGCCAGCCCUCCGCGGGUGCUUCUAAAGAGGAGCUUCCCUUCCCACAAUGCCGCACUGCUCAUGCCUGUGAAAGGACUUCUCCCUGUGUUACGGGGCAUUCAGAGACAAGCCAUGCAAGUUUGAAAGAAAAUGCCAACUUUGGACAUGUUUUCCUUUUUUUAACAUUUUCAUUUUGUACGAUAUUUUUGCUGUGUUGGUGAUUUCCCCCAAUUUUAGUAUUAUUGUGGUUUUUUUAAGGGGGGGGAUGAUCAAGUGAUUCCUGAUGUGAUUUUUUUUUUAAUAAUUAAAAAUGACCCUGCUGGAACUUUGACAGGAAAAGGGGUGGGGGGUGGGGGUGGGAGCACAUAAGCACACUCCCCUCUUUUUGUUUUUAUGUGAGAACAUUGAAAUAAAACUUUUGUACCAUCUGGUUGUGGCUUAAUGUGAGGGGUGGGGUGGAAUGUUUCUUGUCCUUUCACGAGUGUGUGAGUUUGUGGCCUGCGUCUAGGCAGAGCUGAUGGUGUUGACGUUGUUGUUGUUUUUAAAUUAACAUUUAUGUCCUAAUUUUCUCCCCUGAUGGAUUCGUCCAUGAGGUUCUCAAAUAAUCAAGCACUGAUCUGACCCCAGACAUCUGAAGAGUGGCUGCAGGAUCAGGCGAAAGAGUCCGUCUCUUCCAGCUGCAGUUGGUCCCCAUCGUCUGAGAUUGAGGCUGACUCUGGGAACACACUAGCCCUUUCCCUCUGCUGCUGCUACCCGGCCGAUGAGGGUGGAGACUCCAUAAGGCUAGCAGCUGUUGACAGAUCUCUCUUCCUCCUUGUCCAAACCCAUCUGGCUUGUGUGUUGUUGCAGUGAGUUUCAUCAGUUGUCCAUUGUGGGGGGAAGGGCUUCCUUUUGUCUGUCUGGUAUCUCCUGUCAAUAAGGGUCCCUUGGGUGACUCCCCAGCUCUAGUAGGACGGGAGACGGGAGCAGAGCUGGCCUUGUGGUUGCAGGAUAUUCCCCUUGCAGGGCGGGGCCAUUGCUCAGUGGUCGAGCAUCAGCUUUUCAUGCAUAUGGUCCCAGGUGCAAUCCCUGGCAGCAUCUCCAAGAAGGGCUGGAAAGGACCUAAAACUCUGGAGAAUGGCUUACAAGUCUGAGCUAGACUCGGCAUAAGGCUGCUUCCUACGUUCCUAGGGAGAUAAACUUGCAAUAUGUAUAAUCCUAUAAAUCUGCAAGCUCUAGUAAUGAAAGCCAAGGAGCACAGUGAAAAAAUGGGACUACAGCAAAAUGUCAAGAAGACUAAACUGAUGACAACGGGUACAGCAACCAGCCUCAGACUUGAUAAUGAAGACACUGAAGUGGUGGGUGGCUUCUGCCUUUUAGGAUCGACCGUCAACAGUCAAGGAUCCAGCAGUCAAGAAAUACACCGCAGACUAGCACUUGGUAGGGUUCCAAUGAAGGCCUUGGAAAGGAUAUUGAGAUGCCGGGAUGUGUCUACACCUACAAAGAUUACAAUCGUUCGGACAGUGGUUUUUCCUGUGACUCUACAGAUGCGAAAGCUGGACUUUGAAGAAGCAAGGCAGAAAAAGCAUUGAUGCUUUUGAACUUGGGUGCUGGAGAAGACUUUUGAGGAGACCAUGGACAGCCAGGAAAGCCAACCAAUGGAUCAUAGUACAAAUCAAUCCAGAAUUUUCACUCGAGGCACAAAGGACCAGGCUCAAACGAUCGUACUUCGGACACAUUCUGCGAAGACCCAGCUCCCUUGAGAAGUCUAUAUUGCUGGGGAAAGUUGAAGGAAAUUGAAGAAGAGGACGACCAGCAGCAAGGUGGAGGGACUCGAGGACGGCAGCACUGAGAGACCUUCAAGGCCAAGUGGAAGACGGAUCAUCCUGGAGAGAAUCUGUCUACGUGGUCACUAAGAGUCGACACCGACUUGACAGCACUUCAUCCAUCAAUCUCCAUCAGGCCUGCUUGGUUUCAGAAGGUGCAUCACCUGCCUUGAAAUUUUGCCCUGGGCUGCUUUUGAGGGAGUGCCUAGUCCGGAUCCUUCCUCCCUCCGCCAAAGAGCUUGCCUUUCCUGCAAAUCCAGCAGACUCUCUUGCUCCAAACCCUGCUGAUUUGCAGAACGGAGAUGACCCCAGCCUCCCUUCCCAGGAAAGGGAAGUGAAUUUGAAUGGCUUCCGUCUGGUUCCUGAGCUCACACAGGGGGCCCGAGUCGGCAUCACAACCCGGCGACCACAGAGCCCUGUGGCUUUCUUGGAAGACUACAGGAGGGGUUGACCAUUGCCUCCCUCCCACGCAGGAUGAGAUGAUGCCUUUGCAUCCACCUCCAGCACCUUCCAAUAUCGCUGCUGCCCUAUAUAGGUGACUGUAAAUAUCUUUUUACUAGGCACAGUCCGGGAAGCACACCGGCAGGGAUUCGAACUCACAGCCUCUUGGUCCCUAGGCAAGCUGCUUCCCCGCUGCGCCUCCACAGCAUAUAAGGCACAGUUCAAUAGCAUCCACCAGUGAAGGAGGACCACAGGGCAUCUUGGAGGGUGUUCCACGGCAGGGCAUAGGUGCACAGGAAGCUGCCGUCUACUGAGUCAGACCUUUGGUCCACCUAACACAUUAUUGUCUACCCUGACUGGCAGCGGCUCUCCAAGGUUUCAGGCAGGGGAGGGAUUGAACCUGGGGUUGUCUGCAUACCAAGCAGAUGCUCUACCACUGAGCCCCAUCCCCAACGUGGGAAGCUGCCUUGUCCAGAGUCAGACCUUUGGUCCCUCUAGCUCAGACCGGCUGGCAGCAUCUCUCCCAGCCCUACCUGGAGAUGCUGCCAAAGAGUGAACCUGGGCCCUUUUGCCCCCGAGCUAACGGCCUCAUCCCCAAAUCAAAUGCUCUACGGCUGAGCCAGGGCCUCCGCCUUGGUGCCACAGCAGAAAAGGCCCUGUCACUUCUGCCCAACUGCUAUAACCUUGAGGGCAGAGGGGUGCAGCAAGACCGCUGGCCACUCGGUGGGUUCAUAGAGGGCGAGGCGACCCCUUGGCCGUUGGGUCCUAGGAUGCUCCUGGCGUUGGCAGGAGCGUGAUGUCCAGCAUGAACCUGCCCAUUUUCCAACGCAGCCCCCUCCACACACACACACACACACACCCCUGCUUCAUGCUCCUGGCUGCAAACUUGCUCCCCCGCCCGCGGCCAAACCACAAAAACAUCCUUGCCCUUCCCAGACGGCCCACGGCUUUUCGGAGCCGCAGAGCUGGGCCAGAGCCCUUGCGACGUGUUCUGUCUGCUCCUUUUGUUCUCUUCCUUGGAAGUCCGGUGACAAACUGGUGCCCUGGACAGCCGAUUUCCUCCCCAAUCCCUCUCCUUGGCUGAGGCUCCAAAGACAGCUCACCGCCCCCCACCCGCCCGAGCCCAGUCCCUGGUGCCAGGUCCGUAGAGCUGCCAAGGACAGGUCUGGGACACUCUGGUGGCCCAGAAAAGGCUGACGGGGGGCGGCAUUCAGGGGCCAAAUCUGGAAGCUUUUUGAGGGGAAACUGCCAAGAGCUGUUUUGUGGUGGAGAAGGUGGCUGAGGGAGGAGGCGGGGAUGCUCUUCUUGCUUGAAAUCUCUUAUUUAUCUGUGUCCGUGUUGUUUAUCUUUGCAAAGAAUGAGAUGGGUCUCCGCCCCAAGGCACUUGCAGUCAAAACAAAGGAGACCACAGGCGGAAGGGGAGAGAAACGGAGGCAGGGUGGGCAGCAGGAAUUAAUGUGGAAUUAUCUCAGUCUCAAUCAGCUUGCUGACAGGAGGGAAGGAGAACUUCCUGGUGGCAAAGUCUUCACGGAGAGCUCUGCCACAGACUCCUUAGGUGGCCGUAGUCAUGUUUCUUCUUGGCUUCAGUGCCAUCUGCAGAAGUGGCAGGCAGUAACGCUGGCCUGCCUUUCAAGUCGGGUUUGAACAGAUUUCAGCAAGAGGAGAUCCGUGAACCGCAUUUCACUCCUUACAAUAACCUCCCCAAGUACUGGGAUGGGUGUUGCCUUUAACAGGCUAUAACCUCCCAGGCGGCAAUGGCUUUUGCCUGGGGCCGCUGGAAAUGAGGAGGGCAAUAUUUCUCCAUGCCAGAAUAUUCCUCAGUAUCCAUGGCCUCCAUCCUUUCCCCUCUUAGGGUGCCCCAGGAACCUCACCAACCUGGAGGGAUGGAGCCGCUCUGGGAAGAGCAGAAGGCUCCAAGUUCCCUCCCUGGCAGCAUCUCCAAGACAGGGCUGGGAGAGACUCCUGCCUGCAACCUUGGAGAAGCCGCUGCCAGUCUGGGUAGACAAUCCUGAGCUAGGUGGACCAAGGGUCUGACUCAGUAAACGGCAGCUUCCUAUGCUCCUCAGCUUCUGCGUUCGCCUUGAGGGGGCUUGAUGAGAGUCGCCGGUGGUGACUCGCCUGCCUUAGAGGCAUGUAUGCUUCAGGGCGACACAGAAUUCUUCGGCAGCCAGCCGGGCUCAGCUGCCCUCCUUCCUGCGCAGCUGUUGCUGCCGCUCAGCCGCGCUCAUCUGGCCUAGUCAUCCCGGGGAGGGAGGGG